rfam:Burkholderia sp. SRS-W-2-2016 contig117049, whole genome shotgun sequence.
CCUGCUGUACGACCAGCAGUAGCCUACGAAGACAUGCGUCACUGGCAACGGUGGGGUGUGAAGCUCUUCUGACAAUGUAGCCCCCAGAAGUAGUGGGUGCGUGAAUGCCGCGAGGCAUUUACUCAGAGACUCCAAGCAGCAAAGGGGUUGAGGCG